rnacentral:rRNA from 1 species
AGAGUUUGAUCAUGGCUCAGAUUGAACGCUGGCGGCAUGCUUUACACAUGCAAGUCGAGCGGCAGCGCGGGGGCAACCCUGGCGGCGAGCGGCGGACGGGUGAGUAAUGCAUCGGAACGUAUCCCGUAGUGGGGGACAACCCAGCGAAAGCUGGGCUAAUACCGCAUACGCUCUACGGAGGAAAGUGGGGGACCUGCAAGGGCCUCACGCUAGGGGAGCGGCCGAUGUCCGAUUAGCUGGUUGGUGGGGUAAAGGCUUACCAAGGCGACGAUCGGUAGCUGGUCUGAGAGGAUGAUCAGCCACACUGGGACUGAGACACGGCCCAGACUCCUACGGGAGGCAGCAGUGGGGAAUUUUGGACAAUGGGGGCAACCCCGAUCCAGCCAUGCCGCGUGCGGGAAGAAGGCCUUCGGGUUGUAAACCGCUUUUGGUCGGGAAGAAAAGGCUCCCCCUAAUACGGGGGGUUCUUGACGGUACCGGCAGAAUAAGCACCGGCUAACUACGUGCCAGCAGCCGCGGUAAUACGUAGGGUGCGAGCGUUAAUCGGAAUUACUGGGCAAAGCGUGCGCAGGCGGUGAGUUGUGUCUGCUGUGAAAGCCCCGGGCUCAACCUGGGAAUGGCAGUGGAAACUGGCUCGCUGGAGUGUGGCAGAGGGGGGUGGAAUUCCGCGUGUAGCAGUGAAAUGCGUAGAGAUGCGGAGGAACACCGAUGGCGAAGGCAGCCCCCUGGGCCAACACUGACGCUCAGGCACGAAAGCGUGGGGAGCAAACAGGAUUAGAUACCCUAGUAGUCC